rnacentral:rRNA from 1 species
CUACGUGCCAGCAGCCGCGGUAAUACGUAGGUGGCAAGCGUUGUCCGGAUUUAUUGGGCGUAAAGCGAGCGCAGGCGGUCAAUUAAGUCUGAUGUGAAAGCCCCCGGCUUAACCGGGGAGGGUCAUUGGAAACUGGUUGACUUGAGUGCAGAAGAGGAGAGUGGAAUUCCAUGUGUAGCGGUGAAAUGCGUAGAUAUAUGGAGGAACACCAGUGGCAAAGGCGACUCUCUGGUCUGUAACUGACGCUGAGGCUCGAAAGCGUGGGUAGCAAACAGGAUUAGAUACCCUGGUAGUCCACGCCGUAAACGAUGAGUGCUAGGUGUUAGACCCUUUCCGGGGUUUAGUGCCGUAGCUAACGCAUUAAGCACUCCGCCUGGGGAGUACGACCGCAAGGUUGAAACUCAAAGGAAUUGACGGGGGCCCGCACAAGCGGUGGAGCAUGUGGUUUAAUUCGAAGCAACGCGAAGAACCUUACCAGGUCUUGACAUCCCGAUGCUAUUUCUAGAGAUAGAAAGUUA